AGUAAUAAAUCUUUUGACGGCGGGUGUCAAUACGUUGUAAUGGAGGGUCUAUUACAAUAGUACUAACCGUUGCAAAAAAAAAAAAAAAAAAAAAAAGUAUUCUACUAUUGCGAUUUUAUGAUAAAACUGUUGCUAAUACUUUACGGGGGGAAAUAUCUACUGCAACGGUUGUUAAAUCCCUCCUAAAUAUUUUCAUAGUCCGCCACUUAUUUCCCUCAAUUCCUUUUCUCUUUCUCUCAAACCCUUUCGCUUUCUCUCUGCAAUUCCCUCAAAUGAUAAGACGAUACCACCUCUAGCGAUGAAAGAGGGCUAAGUUAAGUCAGCUAAGUUGUGUUGUAAAUCUCUGUGUGUUGUAGUGUCCGGAUUUUUGUGGUGUCUCUUCUUCAGCUUGUACUUUUUGUUUGUAGGAAUAAGUUUAGGAGAUUUAGGAAGGAGCAUUGUGGCGGAAGAAUAAGAAUUGGUCAGGGAAAAUGUGGAAUUAAAGAAAGUAAGAGAGAUCAAUCUAGUUUGAAUUCUGGACCGGUGAAACAGAAUGCAAAGCCAUCCAGAUAUCAUCCUUUUGAAGACAUUUCGGAUUCGAAAAAUUGGGAGAACGAGGAAGCUCAAUUGAUGCCAGCUAAAACUGCUAGAACAGUCAUUGAGUCAUGUUUUCAGGUGUAGUCAACAAUGAAGUGCAUGAGAACAUUUUCUGGCUAGACUUACCUUAUAUAACUAUGAACUUGGAAAUUAUUAAUGCAUAUAUAGUGGCAGAGAGUAAACUAUUGGGCUUCGUUGGAUCCAAAAAUGGUGAUAUAUGCUCAAUUGUGAGACCAUAUCACCAAAAACUUGAGGUAUCCCACUGCUAUGCCUCACACUGCUGCCACUGAACUCUCGCAAUUUCAACUGAAGAUGACGAUCAUACUAUUGAAGAAGAUGAGGCUGUUAUAACUAAAGAAUAAAGUGAGGAAGAGUUAGCUGCUUUAUAAAAUGAAAUGGAUCUACCUCUUGAGGAGCUUCUUAAGCUUUAUGCAGUUGAGGAAGGUUAGCUAUGGAAGAUGUAAAAUUGGAUUUGAAUAGGAUUUGUUUAGACAAGGAAAAUCCAAUGUUGAAUGCGGAGGUGCGAUGCAAUCAUGGUCUCUUACUCCAUUUGAAGACUUCUUGGUUCGAUAAUAAUCUGGGUAGAAGAUUUUGGUCUUGCCCUUAUUAUGGAUCAAACAAGUGUAACUUUUUUCUUUGGAGGGAUGGUAUGGUUGAUGAACGAUCUACGUUCAUUAUUCUAAAGUUGGUGAAGAAAGUGAAGGACAUGAAUGAAAUGUUGAAGAUAACAAAGACGAAGGAAGAAUUGGUUGGUACUUAUAGUGAUAGGGAAAUAAUGGAGAUGGAAGCUGAAUCUGCAUUCACUCAAAUAGAAGAAUAAUGUAACUCAUUUGUUAAGAUGAAAGACGAGGUGAAAAAUACAUCAUAGAAGACGAUUGAAGUAAAGAAGAUAAAGAGCUUUAGUAGUAUUUUCAUGGUAUGUAUCUUCAUAAUGUGUAUUGCUAUAUUGUUCAAAAUAGCAGGUUGAAGUAUUUUGUGUAGUGUUGUAAUAUGAAUUUAUCGUUUGUAGUGUUUCUUGGAUGGUGGUUUGAACUUGAUUUUAUUGAAUGAGAUCUCCUAUUUCAAACUGA